ACGUUGGUAUAUAAACUGAGCAGGCCGCACCAUUGAGUUGCAUAUUCUCAACAUACCAUUGCCUAUAUGGCAAUGGUAUGUUUCCCUUACAUUUUUCUGUUUUUGAGAUUUUUCAAUUUUCAUUGAUUUCAAGGUAAAAUGGAUUGCCAUAUGGAUUCACGCUAAAUGAAGUAACAUUUUUUUUCGAGUUGACGACUGUGCAUCGGGUUGUCGACUCGGGUUUCAGUUUUAGAACUGAGUUUAACACGAUGCUGGAUGAGAUUGUUAAAAUAACGUUCCGAAGAAAAAACUUAACUAUGUCAUCUGAAGUGGAAUUACAUCGUCUUCUUUUUCAAGAGUAUCAAUGAUCUGUUCUAAAACUAUCUUUAUGAAGUUACUCGAACCUUUUGAUUCAAUUUAUGGAAUCAAAUCAUUGUUUGUAGUAAACGUUUGUGUUUGACAUUAAGGGGGAACAUUUUCGUACAUGGAAAAACGACCCAUAAAAUAUGAGAAAAAAACAACAACAUUUGAUCAGUAAAUUGGACGGGUUGCUUAUAUCAUUUGGUUUCAACUCUCAAUUUCGGAAAAAAUACAGCAAAGGAUCUAGAGUCAUUGGAACGUAUUCUGACGAUUAGAGCACUGGAAAACAUCACCAGGGUCAUUAAGGACAAAACGCAUGCAGACAUUAUCAUUUUCGUCACACUGGGGUCAUAAUAACAGUUCUGGACUUUUGGUUUUGUAUUAUCGAUGUACUGUUAUUAUUACACAUGCAGAACGAAAAUUGGUAUUUUGAAAAAAAANUGAAU